ACUCAAAUGAAUUGACGGGGGCUCACACAAGCGGUGGAGCAUGUGGUUCAAUUCGAAGCAACGCGCAGAACCUUACCUGGGUUUGACAUGCCUGGAUUAUCCCGGUGAAAGCCGGGUAGGCCCCGCAAGGGGUACAACAGGCACAGGUGCUGCAUGGCUGUCGUCAGCUCGUGUCGUGAGAUGUCGGGUUAAGUCCCUUAACGAGCGAAACCUUUACCCUUAGUUACCAGCGGGUUAUGCCGGGGACUCUAAGGGGACUGCCGGUGUCAAACCGGAGGAAGGUGGAGAUGACGUCAAGUCCUCAUGGCCUUUAUGCCCAGGGCCACACACGUGCUACAAUGGCGUGCAUAGAGCGAACCUAAAGCGCGAGCUCAUGGGAAUCGCAAAAAUCACGCCCCAGUUCAGAUCGGAGGCUGCAACUCGCCUCCGUGAAGUUGGAAUCGCUAGUAAUCGCGGAUCAGCCACGCCGCGGUGAAUGUGUUCCUGAGCCUUGCACACACCGCCCGU
rnacentral:rRNA from 1 species